UAUACCAUGUUGACUGUAUGAAGUGCUGAGAAUAAGACUGAUAAAACACAGUUCCGGCCCUUAGGGAGUUCAUGAUCUUAUGGAGACACAAAGUAGGGAGAAAUCAGUGCUUCAAGAGGAAGGAUAAUCAAAGGUUUAAUACAGAAGCGUGGCCCUCUCCAUGUGGCGUAUGCCCUGAUCACUAGACCAGAGGAAUGCAUUUCAUAAACAGACACCCUUGUCUUUGCUCCUUCUGUGAAUCAUAAGGAAAAAAGUAUCAGAAUGCUUUCUACAUGAACAGGAAGACUAACCAACGUUGAAUGGCAGCCAGUCUUAUCUCCGUCCUUAUCA
rnacentral:lncRNA from 1 species